UGGGGAAUAUUGGACAAUGGGCGAAAGCCUGAUCCAGCCAUGCCGCGUGAAUGACGAAGGCCUUAGGGUUGUAAAACUCUUUCGUCGGGGACGAUAAUGACGGUACCCGAAGAAGAAGCUCCGGCUAACUUCGUGCCAGCAGCCGCGGUAAUACGAAGGGAGCUAGCGUUGUUCGGAAUCACUGGGCGUAAAGCGCACGUAGGCGGAUAGUUAAGUCAGGGGUGAAAUCCUGGGGCUCAACCCCAGAACUGCCUUUGAUACUGGCUGUCUCGAGGUCGAGAGAGGUUGGUGGAAUUCCUAGUGUAGAGGUGAAAUUCGUAGAUAUUAGGAAGAACACCAGUGGCGAAGGCGGCCAACUGGCUCGAUACUGACGCUGAGGUGCGAAAGCGUGGGGAGCAAACAGGAUUAGAUACCCCCGUAGUCCCUGAGCGGGCUGGCAAGGCGCAU
rnacentral:rRNA from 1 species